AGGAUGAACGCUGGCGGCGUGCCUAAUACAUGCAAGUCGAGCGGUAAGGUUCUCACUCUGUAUUUAACUAGUUUGAAUAUAGUGUGAGAAUACACGAGCGGCGGACGGCUGAGUAACACGUAGGAACGUACCCCAAACUGAGGGAUAAGCACCAGAAAUGGUGUCUAAUACCGCAUGUGCUCUUCGGAGUAAAGCUACGGCGGUUUGGGAACGGCCUGCGCAUGAUUAGCUUGUUGGUGAGGUAAUAGCUCACCAAGGCGACGAUCAUUAGCUGGUCUGAGAGGAUGAUCAGCCAGACUGGGACUGAGAACGGCCCAGACUCCUACGGGAGGCAGCAGUAGGGAAUUUUCCACAAUGGCGAAAGCCUGAUGGAGCAACGCCGCGUGCAGGAUGAAGGCCUUCGGGUUGUAAACUGUCUUUUAUCUGUGACGAAUAUGACGGUAGCAGAUAGAAUAAGGAUCGGCUAACGUCCGUGCC
rnacentral:rRNA from 1 species